AAACACUUUAUGCUAAGAUCAAGUGCAGUCUCUGUCCUUAUUAGUUUAGUACCUGAUACCUCCUCUGUCUGAGGACAGUACAUGAAAUGGCUUUUUGGAGCAGGGCGAUGGAACAAGAGCUUGUUCUGUCAACUCCAUGAAUUGGCCUGGCAUUGCAGCACCUCUAGGAACUCCCUUG
ensembl:snRNA U2 U2 spliceosomal RNA